rnacentral:rRNA from 1 species
AAACUUGAGAGUUUGAUCCUGGCUCAGAACGAACGCUGGCGGCAUGCCUAACACAUGCAAGUCGAACGAUGCCUUCGGGCAUAGUGGCGCACGGGUGCGUAACGCGUGGGAAUCUGCCCUUGGGUUCGGAAUAACAGUUAGAAAUGACUGCUAAUACCGGAUGAAGUCUACGGACCAAAGAU